GCCACCACCACAGAUGAGCUCGACCUUGAAUUAUCAUGGAGGAGUUAAAAGAUAGGCGUGCUUUAGAGAGUCGUGGGGACCUCUCCAGAAGGUCCCAACCAAGGUCCAGAGCAGCUUCGUAUUCUGAGUCUGUUGCCCUUGAAGAGAUGAACGGCCAGCAUCCAAAAGCAGUGAUAACUUGCACCCAGAGGGCACUUCAAGAAAUGUGACUUGAUGAGGGUCUAAAGAUGAAGGCUGACAUUUAGAGCUUGUGAAUACAACUUCCACCUCCAUCUGUAAGCAGAAAAUAGUUCAUUAAAUAAAAGU